UACAGAGGUGGCAAGCGUUGUUCGGAAUUACUGGGCGUAAAGGGCGCGUAGGCGGCCUUCUAAGUCACACGUGAAAUCCCUCGGCUCAACCGGGGAACUGCGUGUGAUACUGGCGGGCUUGAAUUCGGGAGAGGGAUGUGGAAUUCCAGGUGUAGCGGUGAAAUGCGUAGAUAUUCGCAAGAACACCAGUGGCGAAGGCGGCUUACUGGUCCGGUUCUGACGCUGAGGCGCGAAAGCGUGGGGAGCAAACAGG
rnacentral:rRNA from 1 species